AUUGAACGCUGGCGGCAGGCCUAACACAUGCAAGUCGAGCGGAGCGGCGGACGGGUGAGUAAUGUCUAGGAAACUGCCCGGUAGCGGGGGAUAACGUCCGGAAACGGGCGCAAUACCGCCUACCUUUUGAUGAGCCUGGGUCGGAGUUGCUAGGUGGGGGGGUAAAGGCCUACCAAGGCGACGGACCGUAACUGGUCUGAGAGGAUGAUCAGUCACACUGGAACUGAGACACGGUCCAGACUCCUACGGGAGGCAGCAGUGGGGAAUAUUGGACAAUGGGCGAAAGCCUGAUCCAGCCAUGCCGCGUGUGUGAAGAAGGUCUUCGGAUUGUAAAGCACUUUAAGUUGGGAGGCGUUACCAACAGAAUAAGCACCGGCUAACUACGUGCCAGCCGCCGCGGUAAUUC
rnacentral:rRNA from 1 species